rnacentral:lncRNA from 10 species
UUUGCAUUCUUAGCCUCAGAACUGUGUGUCUCCCGCAGCCCAGAGAAAUGCAUCUUGAGUCUGGAAGCGAGGGCUUUCUACAUCAGACCUCUCUCCCUCUAUCUGCUCCCAGGGAAUUUUCCUGACAAGUCUCAUCAGAGAUUAUUUUUCAUGUCUCCCCGUUCCAACUCCCUCCAUAAAGCUCCCCUUUAUAAAAGAAGAAGAGAAACUGUUUGAACUUGCUGUUUCCAGCAAUGCAUUUCUCUUCAUGAGGGAGCUUUAACGAAGUCGAAUGCCUCCCUCUGUCCACCCUCCUCCAUUCCUCAAUUUUUUUUUUUUUGCUUUUCUUUCUUCCCAUUUAUUUAUUUAUUUAAAAUAUCUGCCGUCCAUUUUUGUGCCAUCCUCAAUUCCGUCUCGGCUUUGUUUCCUUUCAGGGUGGCUUUGCAAAAUGUUACGAGAUGACAGAUUUGACAAAUAACAAAGUCUACGCCGCAAAAAUUAUUCCUCACAGCAGAGUAGCUAAACCUCAUCAAAGGGAAAAGAUUGACAAAGAAAUAGAGCUUCACAGAAUUCUUCAUCAUAAGCAUGUAGUGCAGUUUUACCACUACUUCGAGGACAAAGAAAACAUUUACAUUCUCUUGGAAUACUGCAGUAGAAGGUCAAUGGCUCAUAUUUUGAAAGCAAGAAAGGUGUUGACAGAGCCAGAAGUUCGAUACUACCUCAGGCAGAUUGUGUCUGGACUGAAAUACCUUCAUGAACAAGAAAUCUUGCACAGAGAUCUCAAACUAGGUAAGUCAUUGACGCCAAAAGCUGAGUUUUGUGUUAGAGUUCUUUUUUCUCUCUCUGUUUUUUUUUACAUAUUAAUGUUCUUAAUUGGGAUCUCGUGUCUGCAAUCUUGCUUUUGAAUGGGCGACUUUCAUAUAACAAUUGGCUGCCUGGCUCCAAAGUGGAUGUGUGUGUACUUGGUUAGAACGCAUUUUCAAAGGGAUUCACAUUUUGUUUUGUUUAUCGUCUAGGGAACUUUUUUAUUAAUGAAGCCAUGGAACUAAAAGUUGGGGACUUCGGUCUGGCAGCCAGGCUAGAACCCUUGGAACACAGAAGGAGAACGAUAUGUGGUACCCCAAAUUAUCUCUCUCCUGAAGUCCUCAACAAACAAGGACAUGGCUGUGAAUCAGACAUUUGGGCCCUGGGCUGUGUAAUGUAUACAAUGUUACUAGGGAGGCCCCCAUUUGAAACUACAAAUCUCAAAGAAACUUAUAGGUGCAUAAGGGAAGCAAGGUAUACAAUGCCGUCCUCAUUGCUGGCUCCUGCCAAGCACUUAAUUGCUAGUAUGUUGUCCAAAAACCCAGAGGAUCGUCCCAGUUUGGAUGACAUCAUUCGACAUGACUUUUUUUUGCAGGGCUUCACUCCGGACAGACUGUCUUCUAGCUG